AAAAAAGAAUUUACAUUUAAUAGUUGUGCCUUUUUAUUUGUAAAAUGCAUAUAACAUAAAAUUAACCAUUAACCUUUUUUGUUGGUACCGGGGAUGGAACUUGGGACCUUGUGCUUGCAAGGCAGGCACCGGAACCACUGAGCUAAAUCCCCAGCCCCAAUCAUUAAACAUUUUAAAGUGUACAAUUCAAUGUCAUUGAGUACCUUCAUGUGCAACCAUUACUUCUGUCCAGUUAGAGGACAUCUUUAUCAUUCCAGAAGGAAACUCAUUAAACAAUAGGUGUGCUUUUAAUGAGAAUUUAAACCAUUUUAACCAUCUUUUCUUGCUGUUUGAGAUGUCACUGGGUCGAAUCAAAAUGUUUCCUUGUAUGAGAUCUCUUGCUUCCUACAUGUCUACAGGCCUUGGACUCUCCUGAGCUUAUCAGUGCCUGCCUGAGUUACAGAGAGAGGGAGAGAAAAGGGUCUGGGUCUCCACCUGAGAGUACCUGCUGGCUUCCUUUUUCUGUGUAGGAAGCCUCAGGCAGGGGCUGGAACUGUGAGACUGAAGGAGGGACCAACUGGAGAUCAGGGUGCCAGGACUAAGGGUCACUAUUUUCUAGAAGAGACAGAAUAGUUUGCAUUCCUCUUUCCAUCUUCCUCUCCUUUUCUGCUUUGGUCGUUUUCUUCAAAUACCUCCUUCAGCUUUUUGGGGAUGCUCAGUCAGCACACUGCUUUUCUUCAGAAGGGAAGGAGAGGGCUUCUCUCAGCUACCCAGAGACCCAGCAAGCUCAGUCCUCACCCCACCCCUCCCCGGGGGUCCUGCGGCCUCCGAAGGGACCGGGAGACACGGGGAUAUUGCUGCUUCGGAUGCGGAGUAGCUUAGAAGGCAGCACAGAUAGCCCCUAGUGUCUCCAUUCCCUUCCCUUGCUGCUCGAGGGUCGCCCUGGCAAAGCUCAGCUCGCCUGUUGCUCUGUAAACCUCUGGCCAGCCUCUCGCAGUAUCUUUACAAAACGGUCCUUAAGGGUGUGUGGGGGGGCACGAAACGCCUGAGGGCAAGAUGGAAGGAGUUGGGCGGUCCGGAUGCAGGGUCCUCGGGGACAGCCUACCUCUCUACCCCGCCAGCCUCCCCUUCCCGAGGAGAUAGAGGGGAAGCAGGCUUGCUGAAGCCGGAGCCAAGAGGGGACCAUGGGAGGGACACAAGUCAAAUGCCUGACUUCACCCAGUCCAAUCCACAGUGCAAAGAGUGAAUCCAUUAUAACCCAGGCGGAGGAGAAGGCAGAUUUUGUGAUUAUUCCCUCAGAAGGAAUAGAGAACAGAACAGGU
rnacentral:lncRNA from 1 species